AAGUCGUAACAAGGUUUCCGUAGGUGAACCUGCGGAAGGAUCAUUAUCGAAUUUACUGAGGGUUGUUGCUGGGCGCUCGAAGAGUGUCAAAAAGUGCACGCCCUCGUUCAUUCUCAAACCCCUGUGCACCUAUUGUAGGCUGGGUCGCGAGGGCUGACUUCGGUCGGUCUGAAAGCGCCUGGCUUAUGUUUUUUAAUUCACGCUUCAGUCAAAGAAUGUCAAUUUGCGGACAACGCAUGUAUACAACUUUCAGCAACGGAUCUCUUGGCUCUC
rnacentral:misc_RNA from 1 species